UACGGAGGUCCCAAGCGUUGUUCGGAUUCACUGGGCGUAAAGGGUGCGUAGGCGGUCGGGUAAGUCUGAUGUGAAAUCUCACAGCUUAACUGUGAAACUGCAUUGGAUACUAUCCGGCUCGAGGAAUGGAGGGGAGACUGGAAUACUUGGUGUAGCAGUGAAAUGCGUAGAUAUCAAGUGGAACACCAGUGGCGAAGGCGAGUCUCUGGACAUUUCCUGACGCUGAGGCACGAAAGCCAGGGGAGCAAACGGG
rnacentral:rRNA from 1 species